CGUAAAGAUUCCAGGAGACUAAACGAAACAACUCUCUCUCAUCUCCUCGUUUUCUGGAGCACUGCCGCAUCGCCGCCGCAAUUCCUCCUUUGCCUCCGCCCUUGGAUAACCACCGAACGGAGUUGCAACAAACACUUCCAAGCACUCUCUUAAGUUAAACUCGCAACCCAUUCCCUGAUUAUAUGGGUGAAGAAAGGUAAUCGAAAGCAUGAGGAUUCGUCAAUAUCAGCUUGCUUCUCUACACCAAUCGGUUGCUCAUUCGCCUUUAAAUACCAAGCCUUUUUGUUAUCCCAUCACUCAAGUUCAUAGACUGCCAUGGAACCCCCAUAACCUAAAACUCAAUAAGUUCAACCACCGGUUAACACGCUAUAAUACUAGAUGCAGAAACCAUGAUACCUUGAAUGUUUCAAUCACUUCAGUCCACACCGAUGACAGUAGUAGUAGCUUCAAAGGUCACCUUAAAGCUCAAGAAGAAGCUCAGGACAAGAGCUUCUGGGGUGCCGUUGGUCUGAUCAUUGGCACCGCUGUUGGGCCUGGAAUGCUCGGUUUGCCUGCUGCAAUGCUAAGAUCCGGUCCUCUUCCAUCAACGGUUACCAUUCUCCUCUCAUGGGUCUAUGUUAUAUCCUCUAUCAUACUUGUAGCAGAGCUCAGCUUCGCGGCUAUGGAAGAAGACAAUGUCUCUGAGGUGAGCUUCACGGGGCUUGCAACAAAAGCAUUGGGAAGUCAUGUUGGCGCUUUGGUCGCUCUGGUCUAUGCCUCACUGAGUUUUUCUUUGUUGGUGGCAUGCGUUUCGGGCAUUGGUACUAUUAUUUCUCAGUGGUUUCCAUUGAUAAAUCCCAUAAUAGCCAAUGCCUUGUUUCCAUUGGUUGUUGGAAUCAUACUCUGCUUCUUUCCUUUUAAAGUGAUUGAUGCCACCAACAGGUUUCUAUGUUUUGUCAUGCUUGUCUCCAUAUCUGCACUUGUGGCAGUUGGAUUAUUAGUGGGACGAACGAACAUACUGGCUUCCUUCAGCCAUGCCUCAUGGGAUCUUUCUUCAGUGUUACCUGCCAUACCCGUUACUGUACUCACAUUGGGGUUCCAUGUAAUCACCCCUUUCAUUUGUAAGAUUGCUGGGAAUUCCAUAAACGAGGCCCGGAGAGCCAUACUGUUUGGUGGGGUUGUUCCAUUAGUCAUGGUUUUGUUGUGGAAUCUCAUAGUUUUGGGGCUUGCUGGCACCAACAAAGCCCCAUCGUCAAGAGAUCCUAUCUCACUCCUGUUAUCUGUUAAUCCAUCUGCUUUAUCAGCUGUUCAAGGUUUUGCAUUUUCGGCUUUGGCAACUAGUUUAAUAGGGUAUGCUGUUAGUUUCCCAAAACAAGUAUUUGAUACCCUGGAGUUGAUUCUCGGAAAACCCAACUCAACACAACGAGAUCCAUCUCCAAUACGUUCUAUUGACGAUGAAGGUGGAAAAGUUGGGUUUGCCACUUAUUCAGGUGGUCAUGAUAGAAGCAAUAUGGGCAAGGUUUCCCAUAAUCGGUCAAGAAGUGCUUUUCCGGAAUCUAAAUCUGUACUUGCUUUUGGCUCCUUACAGUACAUUAUGGUGCCACUUGUACUCGGCCUUCCAGUUCUCAUAGCGUCUUUCUUCCGCUCAACAUUUUCCAGAGCUCUUGAUUUUGCUGGAAUAUAUGCAAAUUGCUUUCUAUUCGGCAUCCUUCCUCCGAUAAUGGUGUAUAUUUAUCAAUCCAGGAAACAAAUUAGGUAUGUCAACAGAUCAUCCAUUCUACCUGGGGGAAAAGGUGCACUUGUACUUCUGUUUAGCAUUGCAGUCAUAUUAAGUAUUUGGCAUUAGACGGGUAGCAGCACCAUCCAACGAUAAGACUAUUCUUUUGGCGGCAUAAGCAAAUACCACUGAAGAAAAGAAGAGAUCUCACUGUGUCAAACCGCCGGUGUAAGUUUGAUGAACGUUCCCUUGCGCGAUUGUUAUUGUGACUCGUGCUUGUACAUGGAGAGUCUUCUUUUGCAAUUUCGUCCCACUUGGUGAUCGGGAUGCGUCGCGGGGGGGGGGGGGGGGGGGGGGGGCGGUGUGGGGAUGGGACCGGGGGACUUAUGCAAGGAUACAGACGAAAUACCAUGUGAAACUUGUUAACAAUAUGGAAAUGGUAAGCCCAUGUUUUCCAGUCCUUGCUAAUUAAGGUCCAGAAGCUCCAAUUUUUUCAAACUUUGGAGGGACCUAUGAGAGGAAGUUUCUGGUUUUGGAUAUUGUGUCGGUCAUACAGAAAGUCCCCGUAUUUCCCGAUAAUGCAUAACAGUCCACAUUUAAGGGCAUAUUCUCACCCGUACACGUGUACAAGGGUACGAAAUGAGGUCUAGCUUGUGUGCCCCUCGCCUAGCUCUCCAGUGGCCCAGGGGAAUUAGGUCAAGGUUAGUACCAACAAAAUGUCGCUUCAUGUCAAUGUCAUCGAAACCGUGUUACAUGGACCCUGGAAGCAUAAAUCCAUGUUGAAAUUUGUUACAUAGAUAAUCAAUGACAAAAAACCAGAAGCUUCCUGUGUAUUAAUAUGACAGGUUCUCUGAAUUUGAUGGCAUGAUCUUUUCAGUAAAGUUCGACUUUAUGGGUC